AACCUGCCAAUAGGGUAAAAGUUUUAAAACAAGCCCAAUUCAGAUGCAACUGGAAUCAGUACAUUAAAAUGAGGUUUGAAUGCAAUGUCAACCCAAGGAACAAUGAAAACGGCACUUUGGUUUAUGAAGCAAAUUGGGAAGCAAUCAACAGGGAGCUGAUGGCAUGCUCAAUGAGGAAACAAUCUGCUCAAGGCCGGAGCGUAGGCUGAAGAUCAAAAUGAGGGCAUGUAUCCCUCUUGACCCUUUCCAGGAAAGUAGAUGAGAACAUCUGCAAAGGGGCUUUCUAUGGAAAGCCAAUGGGGUACAAGUUCAGCUCAAGACCUUGAGCCAGCUGGAGAGAAACCCGGAGUCUCUCCUAGAAAUAUGUCGCCAGUUAAGGAUCUCUGUGUGCAAUUUUGAAGCCUUGAGUCACGGUCCGCCAAAUCUCUUAAUGACUCUUCAGUUGCCGAUGGAGUGUGGCAGCAGAAGUUCCCCCCUGCGGUCUCAAAGAAAGGAAAGCAGCCUGAAAGUUGGUCGUGAUCUAAAUGACUGAAGCCCUGCAUCUUCGGAUGAGUUCCCAGAGGGCUACAGAAGACCACACUGAAGUCAAAACCUCUCUCUCUGGCCUUGAGUCGACUAGUCUCUUAAAGCAAUAAAUCAUGUCACGUUAAGAAGGAAACCUCCUUUCUGAGCAAAGUUUGGUUUUUAUUUAGACUCAGACAAUGAAGAGUAUGCAAACAAGUUCAGUAGGUGCUUUCCUCACAAUGACGAGUUUCUCUAAAAUUAGCACAUGACUACAAGUGAACUUUGAUAUAGGCGUGUUGACAAACAAUGAGUUAAAGUUACUGAUACAGUGCAUAGUCAGCAUGCCAUUGGCCCUCUAGUAUGCACCUGUACAUACAAGCAUUCGACUUUACAAUAACCUGUGCCAUUGUGUGUGGCAAAAGCCCCGGUUGCCAAGGGUAACGAUCCUUUUUUUCUUAUAAUCACCUUUGUCUUGGCUUCUCUCAUUGGCUCAUAAAUCUCUGGUAAAUAGCCAAUGAAGACGGGUCUUAUUAAGAGUCCAUUGUGAUGCAUUUUUAAA